AAAGCAAGGUACCAAGUCGAAGCGCACACGGAAAUCGUUGCUGUCAUCGCCUCCAUCGCAAAAGAUCCAGACAAUAAAGAGGCUGUCCACAAGAGCGGCUCUCGGAGUUGUGGAAGGUGGCAACGGAACACACAACAUAAGGCUCUCCGGUGAGAGUUUGAAAGAAGCUGU
rnacentral:snRNA from 1 species